rnacentral:rRNA from 1 species
UACGGGGGAGCAAGCGUUGUUCGGAUUUACUGGGCGUAAAGGGCGCGUAGGCGGUCGUGACAAGUCACUUGUGAAAUCUCCGGGCUUAACUCGGAACGGUCAAGUGAUACUGUCGGACUAGAGUACAGAAGGGGCAACUGGAAUUCUCGGUGUAGCGGUGAAAUGCGUAGAUAUCGAGAGGAACACCUGCGGCGAAGGCGGGUUGCUGGGCUGAUACUGACGCUGGAGGCGCGAAAGCCAGGGAGCAAACAGG